rnacentral:rRNA from 1 species
UACGUAGGGGGCAAGCGUUGUCCGGAUUUAUUGGGCGUAAAGAGCUCGUAGGCGGUUCGGUAAGUCGGGUGUGAAAACUUUGGGCUCAACCCAAAGCCUGCACUCGAUACUGCUGUGACUUGAGUCCGGUAGGGGAGUGGGGAAUUCCUGGUGUAGCGGUGGAAUGCGCAGAUAUCAGGAGGAACACCGGUGGCGAAGGCGCCACUCUGGGCCGGUACUGACGCUGAGGAGCGAAAGCGUGGGGAGCGAACAGG